CCUACGGGAGGCAGCAGUAGGGAAUCUUCCACAAUGGGCGCAAGCCUGAUGGAGCAACACCGCGUGAGUGAAGAAGGGUUUCGGCUCGUAAAGCUCUGUUGUUGGAUAAGAACGUGCGUGAGAGUAACUGUUCACGCAGUGACGGUAUCUAACCAGAAAGUAACGGCUAACUACGUGCCAGCAGCCGCGGUAAUACGUAGGUGGCAAGCGUUAUCCGGAUUUAUUGGGCGUAAAGGGAGCGCAGGCGGUGGCUUAGGUCUGGUGUGAAAGCCCUGGGCUUAACCGAAGAAGUGCAUCGGAAACCGGGUAACUAGAGUGCAGAAGGGGAGAGUGGAACUCCAUGUGUAGCGGUGGAAUGCGUAGAGAUAUGGAAGAACACCAGUGGCGAAGGCGGCUGUUUGGUAUGCAACUGACGCUGAGGUUCGAAAGCAUGGGUAGCGAACAGGAUUAGAUACCCUAGUAGUC
rnacentral:rRNA from 1 species